UACGUAGGGUGCGAGCGUUAAUCGGAAUUACUGGGCGUAAAGCGUGCGCAGGCGGUUUUGUAAGCCAGAUGUGAAAUCCCCGGGCUUAACCUGGGAAUGGCAUUUGGGACUGCAAGGCUGGAGUGUGGCAGAGGAGACUGGAAUUCCCGGUGUAGCAGUGAAAUGCGUAGAUAUCGGGAGGAAUACCGAUGGCGAAGGCAGGUCUCUGGGCUGACACUGACGCUCAUGCACGAAGGCGUGGGGAGCAAACAGG
rnacentral:rRNA from 1 species